GAUGAACGCUGGCGGCGUGCCUAAUACAUGCAAGUCGAGCGAACAGACGAGGAGCUUGCUCCUUUGACGUUAGCGGCGGACGGGUGAGUAGCACGUAGGUAACCUAACUAUAAGACUGGGAUAACUUCGGGAAACCGGAGCUAAUACCGGAUAAUAUUUCGAACCGCAUGGUUCGAUAGUGAAAGAUGGCUUUGCUAUCACUUAUAGAUGGACCUGCGCCGUAUUAGCUAGUUGGUAAGGUAACGGCUUACCAAGGCAACGAUACGUAGCCGACCUGAGAGGGUGAUCGGCCACACUGGAACUGAGACACGGUCCAGACUCCUACGGGAGGCAGCAGUAGGGAAUCUUCCGCAAUGGGCGAAAGCCUGACGGAGCAACGCCGCGUGAGUGAUGAAGGUCUUCGGAUCGUAAAACUCUGUUAUUAGGGAAGAACAAACGUGUAAGUAACUGUGCACGUCCUGACGGUACCUAAUCAGAAAGCCACGGCUAACUACGU
rnacentral:rRNA from 1 species